GCCUCUGAAAAAACAGGGGGGGGGGAGAAAAUACUGCAUAUCAUAUACCUGAAAGGGGUUUCAUCUCCAAAAUAUAUAAGAACUCCUCGAAUGUAAAACAAAAACAGGCGAAGGAUUUGCAUAGACAUUUCUCCAAAGAAGGUAUAGCAAUGACCAUCAAGCAAAUGCAAAAAUACUCAACUUCACUAAAUCUCAGGGAAAUGCAAAUCAAAACCACAAUGAGGUAUCACCUCACACCUGUCAGGAUGGCUAUUUAUCAGAAUAGGUAAGUGUUGAUGAGGCCAUGAGAAACGGGAACCCUUGAAGCAAAAUGCUGUAGCUUCGAAGGAAAACAAUUAGAAAUCUUCCCCCCAAAAAAGGCAGAAAUGCUCUAUGAUCCCAGAGUGUUACUCUCACUGCUGGGUAUUAAUAUAAAAGAACUGAAAUCAGGAUCCCAAAGAGACCUGUUAGCACUUCUGAGUUUUUUACUUUUCUCAGACUGCUGCCCUGCUCCCGACAGCACUUGGGUCCCCGCUGCUUUUAAACUCCCAAUAAACCCUCCUCUCCCCGAGCCCAUGGAUCCCAGGCAGCAUCCUAGGCACCCCUCACCCCACCCCACUCCCUACCCCGACCCAAAUCUGCCUUGCCGGAGAAUUAUGCUCCUUGCCUGGGGUCUCAGGUCAGGACAAGCCCUAGAUGAAUGAGUCCAGCGACCUGCGCGAGGUCCAGGCACGCCGGGCUGAGGGGAAAUCAGCCGGUCAGGCGGCCGCGCUCCCCGAAGCAGCGUGACCCGGGGGCGUGGGGGUACGACUCGCUGUGCGCUCCCCGCGCCUGGCUUCCCUGGGCGGCUGCCAGUCCCACGCUGCCGGUAGGGGCGGAGCGCGGCCUUUUUUGGUCUGGGGAGGAGUGGCUGCGCGGCCCCGUGUUCCCUCGGCCUGAACUCCGCCGCCUGGCUGUGGGCUGUCACUUGCGCCCCGCGUCCUGGCUCUGCGCGCCUCCCCUCUUUCCCGCGUGCACCCGGCCUGAGCCCCGGUCCUCGGGAGCAGCUGCCAGUGUGCACACCCUCCUAUCUCCCUAUCCGACCACAUGGGCCCCGGGGCCAUCUGCCCGUGGAGGGGCCCCCUGCCCCGCCUCCAGGUCUGGACCUGGAUCGAGCCGGUGGUGGCCUCCAACCAGGUGGCCACCUCCCUCUACGACGCGGGGCUGCUCCUCGUGGUGAAGGCAUCCUUCGGAGUCGGGGCCUUCUCCAACCACAGCGCCAGCCCGUCACCCAGGGGGGCACUAGAGGACCAACAGCAGAGGGCCCUCUCCAACUUCUAUAUCAUCUACAACCUUGUGAUGGGCCUGACGCCCUUGCUGUCAGCCUACUGGCUGGGCUGGCUCAGCGACCGCUACCACCGCAAGAUCGCCAUCUGCGUGCCGCUGCUGGGCUUCCUGCUCUCCCGCCUCGCGCUGCUGCUCAAAGUGCUGCUGGACUGGCCGGUGGAGAUGCUCUACGGGGCCGCGGCGCUGAACGGGCUGUGCGGUGGCUUCUCAGCGUUCUGGUCGGGGGUCAUGGCCCUGGGGUCCCUCGGCUCCUCCGAGGGCCGCCGCUCCCUGCGUCUCAUCCUGAUUGACCUGAUCCUGGGCUUGGCAGGCUUCUGUGGCAGCAUGGUCUCCGGGCAUCUCUUCAAGCAGAUGGUUGGGCACACCAGGCAGGGCCUGGUGCUGACCGCCUGCAGUGUGAGCUGUGCCAGUUGUGCCCUUUUCUACAGCCUCUUGGUGCUGAAAGUCCCUGAAUCCAUGGCCAAGCCCAGCAAGACCGCGGAUACAGUGUCGGGCACAGUCGGCACGUAUCGCACCCUGGAUCCUGAUCAGCCAGCCAGCCAGAGUGUAGUGGGGCACCCUCCGGCUCCUGGAAAAGCACGGCCCCAAAAAACCAUCAUCGCUCUGCUCUUUGUGGGUGCCGUCAUAUAUGACCUGGCGGUGGUGGGCACGGUGGACGUGAUCCCCCUCUUUGUGCUGAGGGAGCCUCUCAGUUGGAACCAGGUGCAGGUGGGCUACGGUAUGGCUGCGGGGUACACCAUCUUCAUCACCAGCUUCCUGGGCGUCCUGGUCUUCUCCCGCUGCUUCCGCGACACAACCAUGAUUAUGAUUGGGAUGGUCUCCUUUGGGUCCGGGGCCCUCCUCUUGGCUUUUGUGAAAGAGACGUACAUGUUCUACAUUGCUCGGGCCGCUAUGCUGUUCGCUCUCAUCCCCAUCACAACCAUCCGAUCUGCAAUGUCCAAACUCAUCAAAGGCUCCUCUUACGGAAAGGUGUUUGUCAUCCUGCAGCUGUCCCUGGCUCUGACCGGGGUGGUGACAUCCACGGUGUACAAUGAGAUCUAUCAGCUCACCAUGGAAAAAUUCGUGGGCACCUGCUUUGCGCUCUCCUCCUUCCUCUCCUUCCUGGCCAUCAUCCCCAUUGGGUAUGCCAAGAGGCUUUGCCUUCUUUGAGACUUUGGGGUCCAUGAAGCAGGCGUGCUCCUCUUGACGUCUCACCCCAGUGUACCAGCAUUGUGGCCACGAAGCAAGCCUCGUUGUUGCAGUAUGGUGACACGGCAGAGAAAUGAAGGUGCUGAUCUGCGGGAGUCGAAAACACCCAGCCGUGGCCGGGCCCCUCCAAAGACCCAGGAAGAGACCAGGAACUGGGGACCAAAGCGGCUCCUUGCCCAAGAAACCCGAGUUGGCUUCAGACUGACCUGCUCUGGUGCAGGGCUCUCCCUGGUGGGUGGGGAAAGCACUUUCCUGGUGAUGGAGGAACUUUCUGAGCUUUCAGACAUUGAAAUUAGAUAGAGGUGAGGUUCUGCAGGCAGGAGAGCUCAACUUGCACGGGCGAUACGCAGGCUGCACCCACAGCCAGACCAGACCCCGAAGCCUCUUUCUUCGAGGACCAUUCGCUGAGGCCUCCCGCAUGGGGCCAACUAGUCACCUAGGGAGUCCAAGCCCCACAUUUUCAACAGCCCGAGGGAUAAUGCGGAGGGGAGGUUUGGUAAGAACUGCCAACAGUGGGCAUUCCAUCAAUCUUUGUUAAAUGAAAAUAUAACCUUGAAGGAAAGUUACUUUCUUCCCUGAGCCUGUGUUACCUGCGAACAGCUCCAGAGAGAGCUGGACCCCUGGCACUUGGCUUCAGGGUUGUUUUGUUGUUUCGAAGAAGCAACUAUCCCAAAGCUUUCUUCAAUGGACUAUAUGAAAUUUGAUACUUCAGUCAACAGUCCUUUCCAAACUGAGAGGUAUGAAGGGAGAGGGGAGUGGAAAUAUGCGAAGAGGCCUUUUAUUUUGAGGUACUUAUUUUUAUAGCCUAUUUUACGACUAUAAAGGCAGCCUCACCUGCUAAUAAAAUCAACGUUCAUAACA